AGCCCCCUGUAUUCGUGCUGAGAUUUCGUCAGAAACGUUGGCACUGGCUGAUGGUACUUCCCAAAUAAGUGGAGCG
rfam:Trichobilharzia regenti genome assembly, scaffold: TRE_scaffold0002779